ACCCAUUACCGGAAAAGUCUCCGAAUUGGACCGAGGUUUUGGCUACCCCCCCAUUGUCAGACAUCCCGAGCGCGUUCCCGAAGUCAGAAUCGGCAAAGGUGAACCGGGACAGCCUUCUUCCUCCUCCCAGCCGCCACAGUGACCGUUGUCAAGUCUGUGAGUAAAAUAUUAAUUUUAAUUGUAAUUUCGAUAUUAUUAUAUGUUCAAGUAUGCCCAUGCAUCACUUAUAUGCAUAUAUCUAUGUAGAUAAACUUUAGGCACGAUUUAUGUUGCAUUCAUAACUGUGAAAGUGCCAUGUAUGUUGUUGUGGUAAUUUGGAGCAGUGUGCGUGCGUCGGCGUGCGUGUGAUGUGGUGUGGACUAUGGAUAGGACGGGUAGACACGGCUUGAGAUCUUCGCUGGGACUCGGUCCUUCGGGGUAGACACGGCCUGAGUUCUUCGCUGGGACCCCGAAUUGGUUAUUAAGUGGAAGUCCGAGCUGAGUUCUUGGCUGGCACAGUUGGAACUAAGAGAGCUGUAUAGGGGAUCAGCUCCCAUAUAUAUUAUGAUUGAUAUUACUGGGUGCGUGAGUGCUCCAAAUUACCUUUUUGAUGUUAUGAUGUGAAAUUAUUGCUGGUGUUGCAUUUCACUCUACAGGGUGCAUUAGUUUUAGAUAGUUAUAGAGAUUAUGGUUAAAAUUGAUAUUUUACUCUCUGAGUCGAACGCUCACUCAUGUUCAAUAUUUUUCCAGGCUACAGGAGGAUUUUAUUGUGGUUAACCUGCUUUUCUCCUUCGCAGGUUGUUUUAUCAAUAUUUGUGUAAUUUUAUUUACUUCUAGAAUUUCCGCAUGUGUUAGAAAUAUUUAAAUGAUUCGGGUCUGUAAUAUAAAUUGUCAUGUGGACCUGUAAAAUUAUUAUAUGCAUGUUUGAUGGACUGGAUGAGGGAGCUGAGCUCCCAUUUAUCUUUAUGUUGAUUUCAGUAUGUGGAGGGUGAGCUGAGCUCCCCAAUUGAUGAUA